UUAUUGGAGAGUUUGAUCCUGGCUCAGGACGAACGCUGGCGGCGUGCCUAAUACAUGCAAGUCGAGCGGAGUUUAU
rnacentral:rRNA from 2 species